AAAAACUGAGGCCUGGUGAGAGUCUCACCUGUAGGGGGGACGCCCAGCCCAGGACCUCUGAUGAUCAGAUUCCGGCCCAGCCGUGUCAAUUGAAGGGACUCUCCCCGGCAGUGGGGCGUGGAUGUUCUAUGCCAGCUAAAGCAGCCACCCAACAGAGUGCCACAAAAUUCUAUAAAUCACCAAGGCAGAUUCAGAGUGACAACAGUUCCCACUUUACAGAUAUUCCUGCUGUGCUCGCUAUGCUAUGCUGCAACUCCAUGUCUGCUGCAGACCUCCACCCCAACUAUAGUCUCCACAGGACAACUUUUGACCCUGCACUGCUGGAGCAACUGCUCUACAUCAGUGGGACCUAUAACCUGGACUACGAUUGGCCGAGAAAUUUGGUCUCAAAAAACAUCAAGCAACUUCUCAGUAUAAGCCUAUCUCUGAUCAGUCACACAAAACUAAUUAUAAUUUCUCUAUUACCCUGCCUUCUGCUACUCUCCGUGAUGGGGGCUGGUCUAGACUUCUACAAGCUAAUUUGUUGCCUAGGUAUUAUCUUAGCUAAUGUUAUCUUUGAUGCUGUACAUGAUUUACAAAAUCAAGUUAAUAAUACUUCAUAUUCUAAGGGAUUAUUUGAUUAGCUACCUUGGGGUUUGGGUCCUUUAUUACAAAAUAGUUUUAUAAUUAUUAUAGUCAUUAAAUUUAGGGUUCUUGGAUGUGCCUUGUGUACUUAUAUACAAAGUUCAUUGUCUGUACAUAUGAUGUCUUAUGGUUAAUAAAAACGGCCACAGACAAAAAUGUCUUGACAUGAGUACAGCCAUGUUUGGCCGCUCCAUUGACCUACAGCCACCAACACAAAAAAAUAUAUAA